AGGGUGCGGAUUCUCUGGAGGAUUUCU
rnacentral:piRNA from 1 species